rnacentral:rRNA from 1 species
AUUGAACGCUGGCGGCAGGCCUAACACAUGCAAGUCGAGCGGAGGGGCGGACGGGUAAGGAAUGCUCAGGAAUCUGCCUGAUAGUGGGGGAUGAGGUCCGGAAAAGGGAGCUAAUACCGCAAACUAUCAGCUGAGCCGAGGUCGGAUUAGGUAGUUGGUGGGGUAAAGGCAUACCAAGGCGACGAUCCGUAUCUGGUCUGAGAGGAUGAUCAGGCACACUGGAACUGAGACACGGUCCAGACUCCUACGGGAGGCAGCAGUGGGGAAUAUUGGACAAUGGGCGAAAGCCUGAUCCAGCCAUGCCGCGUGUGUGAAGAAGGUCUUCGGAUUGUAAAGCACUUUAAGUUGGGAGGCGUUACCAACAGAAUAAGCACCGGCUAACUUCGUGCCAGCCGCCGCGGUAAUAC